GCUCCCGUAGCUCAAUGGACAGAGCAGUUCCCUUCUAAGGAAAAGGUUUGGGUGUUCGACUCACCCCGGGAGCG
rnacentral:tRNA from 1 species